rnacentral:rRNA from 1 species
CCAAUAGCGUAUAUUAAAGUUGUUGCAGUUAAAAAGCUCGUAGUUGAAUUUCGGGAUCAAUUUAUUGGUCGUGCCAACGGUACGCACUGGUACAAUUGGUUUCUCCCUUCUGACGAAGCAUGAUGUCAUUAAUUUGAUGUCGUGGGGAAUCAGGACUGUUACUUUGAAAAAAUUAGAGUGUUUAAAGCAGGCUUUGGCUUGAAUACAUUAGCAUGGAAUAACGAAAUAGGACGUUUGAUUUUAUUUUGUUGGUUUCUAGGAUCGACGUAAUGAUUAAUAGGGAUAGUUGGGGGCAUUAGUAUUCAAUUGUCAGAGGUGAAAUUCUUGGAUUUAUUGAAGACUAACUACUGCGAAAGCAUUUGCCAAGGAUGUUUUCAUUAAUCAAGAACGAAAGUUAGGGGAUCGAAGACGAUCAGAUACCGCCGUAGUCUUAACCAUAAACUAUGCCGACUAGGGAUCGGAUGAUGUUAAUUUUUUAAUGACUCAUUCGGCGCCUUACG